CCUACGGGGGGCAGCAGUGGGGAAUAUUGGACAAUGGGGGCAACCCUGAUCCAGCCAUGCCGCGUGUGUGAAGAAGGCCCUCGGGUUGUAAAGCACUUUCAGUGAGGAAGAACGCCUGGUGGUUAAUACCCAUCAGGAAAGACAUCACUCACAGAAGAAGCACCGGCUAACUCCGUGCCAGCAGCCGCGGUAAUACGGAGGGUGCGAGCGUUAAUCGGAAUUACUGGGCGUAAAGCGCGCGUAGGUGGCUUGAUAAGCCGGUUGUGAAAGCCCCGGGCUCAACCUGGGAACGGCAUCCGGAACUGUCAAGCUAGAGUGCAGGAGAGGAAGGUAGAAGUCCCGGUGUAGCGGUGAAAUGCGUAGAGAUCGGGAGGAAUACCAGUGGCGAAGGCGGCCUUCUGGACUGACACUGACACUGAGGUGCGAAAGCGUGGGUAGCAAACAGGAUUAGAUACCCCAGUAGUC
rnacentral:rRNA from 1 species